rnacentral:rRNA from 1 species
AGUGAACGCUGGCGGUAGGCCUAACACAUGCAAGUCGAACGGCAGCACAGUAAGAGCUUGCUCUUACGGGUGGCGAGUGGCGGACGGGUGAGGAAUACAUCGGAAUCUACUUUUUCGUGGGGGAUAACGUAGGGAAACUUACGCUAAUACCGCAUACGACCUACGGGUGAAAGCAGGGGAUCUUCGGACCUUGCGCGAUUGAAUGAGCCGAUGUCGGAUUAGCUAGUUGGCGGGGUAAAGGCCCACCAAGGCGACGAUCCGUAGCUGGUCUGAGAGGAUAAUCAGCCACACUGGAACUGAGACACGGUCCAGACUCCUACGGGAGGCAGCAGUGGGGAAUAUUGGACAAUGGGCGCAAGCCUGAUCCAGCCAUACCGCGUGGGUGAAGAAGGCCUUCGGGUUGUAAAGCCCUUUUGUUGGGAAGGAAAAGCAGCAGGUUAAUACCCCGCUGUUCUGACGGUACCCAAAGAAUAAGCACCGGCUAACUUCGUG